CGGACACCCAGCACCGGCGGCUCCGUCCCCACGGCUCCCGGCGGGCACCUCCUCCGCCCCCCGCGUCACCCAGCAGAGCGCAUACGGCUUUCGACUGAAAGAUCUGGAACCGAGGAGAACUCGCAGCCCAGACAAAAGGCUGAUAAGAGCCUCAGUGAAAGAGCACAAGCAGAGUUUCUUCUGUAGCGUGACGCAGUUGCACGGUACCCAAAAUGGCAGCUCCACCCGAUCCCAGAAAAGCGUGGUUUGUGCUCCACGGACAGCAAAACUCUCUGUGGCACUUAUCGGAAGAUAAAGCAAGACUUGCAAGGUACUGCCAAGGCCAGCUGGACAGUAAGGGAUGUGAACAUCCGCACAAGAAGACUAUAAAGAUAUCAUCACCAAGGGAUAAGAAGAAAUUAUGGCUGGGGUCUUGUAACAAUAUUGCUUUGUAACAACCUAAUGAAGUCAGCAAGAACUAAGAAUGUAGUAAUGUUGUAACCUCCCCCUUUUACUGUAUAAA